rfam:Candidatus Nealsonbacteria bacterium RBG_13_37_56 RBG_13_scaffold_3599, whole genome shotgun sequence.
AGCCAACUAAAUUUUAAGAGCAAAUGGUGGAUGCCUUGGGAUAUUGAGGCGAUGAAGGACGUGGCGUGACUGCGAUAAUCCUCGGAGAGGUGUCUAGCAACCUUUGACCCGGGGGUUUCCGAAUGGGAAAACCCAAUCUCGUAAAACGGGAUUAACCCUGAUUUUAUCAGGGUGGCAAACCCGCUGAAGUGAAACAUCUCAGUAAGCGGAGGAAAAGAAAAAUAAUUUUAUUCCCUUAAUAGCGGCGAGCGAAAAGGGAAGAGCCCAAACCAUAUUUUUUAAAUAUGGGGUUGUAAGGAGAUAAUGUCGGGAGUAUUCCGGGUGCACUGGAAUGCUUUCGAGGGAGAAUAUUUAGACGGAGAUUAGUUAGGAGAACGACCCUGGAAAGGGCGGCCAAAGAAGGUAAUAGCCCCGUAAUCGAAAACUUCUUCGCGCUCCUUGUUAUCUUACUUGAGUACUAUGGGAAAUGAAAGUCCUGUAGGAAGCAAGCCGAACUAAUCGGCUAAGGCUAAAUACUACAAUAUCCCCGAUAGUGAACUAGUACCGUGAGGGAAAGGUGAAAAGUAGGGGGGUGACCCCGGUGAAAUAGAACCUGAAACCAUUUUUGCUCACAAGGAGUCAGAGCCGCGUUUGACGCGGUGAUGGCGUACCUAUUGAAGAAUGAGCCAACGAGUUUUCGUAUAUAGCUUGUCUAAGCUCUUACAGAGCGAAGGCGUAGCGAAAGCAAGUGUUAAAAGCGCGUUUUUGCUAUAUGCGGAAGACCCGAAGCCAAGCGAGCUUGCCAUGGCCAGGGCGAAGGACGCCGAGAGGCGGCCGGAGGCCCGAACCCGUGAGCCGUGCAAUACUCUGGGAUGAGCUGUGGUAAGAAGUGAAAAGCUAAUCGAGCUUGGUAAUAGCUGGUUCUCCCCGAAAUAGCUUUAGGGCUAGCGUUCUGUUAAUGUUUUCAGGGGUAGAGCACUGGAAGGAAUUUCUUGAGCUUCGCUCGGAUUUUCCUACCAAACUCCGAAUACUGAAAAAUUAGACAGGGCAGUCAGACUGUGGGGGCUAAGCUCCAUGGUCAAAAGGGAAACAGCCCAGAUCUUUAUCUAAGGCCCCUAAAUUUAGCUAAGUGUUUUUAAGGAAGUAAAGUUCCUUUGAUAGCUAGGAGGUUAGCUUAGAAGCAGCUAUCCUUUAAAAAGUGCGUAAUAGCUUACUAGCUAAGGAAUUUUGCGCCAAAAAUUUACGGGACUCAAGCUAAAUGCCGAAGAUAAGAACUCCCGCCUUUGGCGGGAUUGGUAGGGGAGCGUCUCUAAUGCUUUGAAGCUGAAUUGUAAAGUUCAGUGGAGCGUUAGGGAGUGAGAAUGUUGGCAUGAGUAACCACAAGUCCGAUGUGAAAUCGGACCACCGAAAACCUAAGGUUUCCUUGGCAAUGGUUGUCAGCCAAGGGUUAGGCGGUCCUUAUCCGUCUACCGAAAGGUAGACGAGAGAUGGAUAGCCGGUUAAUAUUCCGGCCCCUCAGUGCUUUUCAAAAGAUGACGUAGUUUAAAAGAUAAGGUGUAUUAUUGGAUUUACAGUUGAGUUUUGCUUUCGGGCAGGACGAACUUAUUGGAUAAGCUACCCAGAAAAGUCUGGAGAAUUAAGAGCAUUGGGUCCGUACCGUAAACCGACACAGGUGGGUUGGUAUAAGUGUACUAAGGUGAACGAGUGAAUGCUCCUGAAGGAACUCGGCAAAAAAGCAGGCGUAACUUCGGGAUAUGCCUUACCCCGCCAUUGGCGGGGUCGCAGCGAAAGAUUCCCUGGCGGCUGUUUAUCAAAAACACAGAUCUCUGCUAACUCGUAAGAGGAUGUAUAGGGGUUGAGGCCUGACCAGUGCUGGAACGUUAACAGUGGCGGUCUUUCUACUUUUAGCAGAAAGGCUGACUGCUCGAAGCGCCAGUGAACGUCGGCGAUAACUAUAAUCGUCCAAAGGUAGCGUAAUCUCUUGCCAGGUAAGUUCUGGCCCGCAUGAAAGGCUUCACGACUGGGGAACUGUCUCCAGGAGCAGCUCGGUGAAAAUACAAUACCGGUAAAGACGCCGGUUACCUGCGGCUAGACGGAAAGACCCCGGGAGCUUUACUAUAGUUAGAUAUUGUGUUUUGGUUUUGGAUGCGUAGCGUAGAAGGGAGACUUUGAGGUUCUGUUUUCGGACAGAGCGGAGUCGCCAAUGAAACACCUUCCUUUUAAAAUCUUAAUUCUAAUUCCGAUGAAAAUUGGAAAACAGUGUCUAAUGGGUAGUUUAAGUGGGGCACUUUUCUCCUAAAAAGUAAUGGAGAAGUUUAAAGGUCAGCUAGCUCCGGAUGGAAAUCGGAGUGGUCGGAUAAAGCCAUAAGCUGGCUUUACUGCAAACAGUAUAUUGUGCGCAGUUAGGAAACUAGAACUUAGUGAACCGACGGAUUUUUAUAGAAAAUCCGAAGAUUAUCAGCUAAAAGUUACCCCGGGGAUAACAGGCUAGUAGAGCCCGCGAGUCCAUAUCAACGGCUCUGUUCGGCACCUCGAUGUCGGCUCAACGCAUCCUGGGGGUGGAACCGCUCCCAAGGGUUUGGCUGUUCGCCAAUUAAAGCGUUACGUGAGCUGGGUUCAGACCGUCGUGAGACAGGUUGGUCCCUAUCUACCGUAGGCGUAGAAUCUUGAGUGGAGUUGGUCCUAGUACGAGAGGACUGGAUUGAACUGACCUCUGGUGUAUCAGCUGUUCUGCCAAGAGCACUGCUGAGUAGCUACGUCAGGAAGGGAUAAGCGCUGAAAGCAUCUAAGCGCGAAGCCUACCACAAGAUUAGGAUUCAUAGAUUCCUCGAAGACUACGAGGCAAUAGGCUGCAAGUGUAAGCCCGGCAACGGGUUUAGCUGAGCAGUACUAAUAAAUCAUACAAAAGUUGGCUAA